GACGAACGCUGGCGGCGUGCUUAACACAUGCAAGUCGAACGAGUGGCGAACGGGUGAGUAAUACGUGAGUAACAUGACCUCUUUUUGGGAUAAGCCUUGGAAAAGGGGUCUAAUACCGGAUAACGGGGGAGGGUCUCGCGGCCUAUGAGCUUGUUGGUGGGGUGAUGGCCUACCAAGGCGGUGACGGGUCGGCGGCCUGAGAGGGUGGACGGCCACAUGGGGACGGCGAGACGCCCCAGACUGUUACUGGAGGGAGCAGUUGGGGAUAUUUCGCAAUGGGCGAAAGCCGGAUGCAGCGACGCGGCGUGGGGGAUGAAGGCUUUAGGGUUGUAAACCUCGUUCGCAAUCGAACGGGUAGGUGGAGAAGAAGCGCCGGCUAACUACGUGCCAGCAGCCGCGGUAAUUC
rnacentral:rRNA from 1 species